AUCAUUUUAUCAAUUCAUCAUUGUGGCAGCAGCCAUGGCCGCCCACUCAAUCUUCACCACAACCAGCACUACCAAUUCUUUCUUAUACCCAAUUUCUUCUUCUUCUUCUUCCCCUAACAUUAACUCUUCUUUCCAUGGUGUUUCACUUAAUGUUAAGUCAAAAUUUGGCCAAUCUUUGACCCUUUAUGCUGUCACUACCCCUAAACCCCUUACUGUUUUUGCUGCUACUAAGAAAGCUGUUGCUGUCCUUAAGGGCAACUCUAAUGUUGAGGGGGUUGUCACUCUAUCUCAAGAUGAUGAUGGUCCAACUACGGUUAAUGUUCGUAUAACUGGACUUGCUCCUGGACUUCACGGGUUUCAUUUACAUGAAUAUGGUGACACUACAAACGGAUGUAUGUCUACAGGAGCCCAUUUUAAUCCGAAUAAAUUGACACAUGGAGCUCCUGGAGAUGAAAU
rnacentral:misc_RNA from 1 species